GCUAUGGUAGCCUAGUGGUUAGAAUGUCCAUCUCCGAUGCGGGAGGUCGCAGGUUCGAACCCCGGCCGCGUCAUACCA